GACGAACGCUGGCGGCGUGCUUAACACAUGCAAGUCGAACGGAAAGGCCCUGCUUUUGUGGGGUGCUCGAGUGGCGAACGGGUGAGUAACACGUGAGUAACCUGCCCUUGACUUUGGGAUAACUUCAGGAAACUGGGGCUAAUACCGGAUAGGAGCUCCUGCUGCAUGGUGGGGGUUGGAAAGUUUCGGCGGUUGGGGAUGGACUCGCGGCUUAUCAGCUGGUUGGUGGGGUAGUGGCUUACCAAGGCUUUGACGGGUAGCCGGCCUGAGAGGGUGACCGGCCACCUUGGGACUGAGAUACGGCCCAGACUCCUACGGGAGGCAGCAGUGGGGAAUAUUGCACAAUGGGCGGAAGCCUGAUGCAGCAACGCCGCGUGCGGGAUGACGGCCUUCGGGUUGUAAACCGCUUUCGCCUGUGACGAAGCGUGAGUGACGGUAAUGGGUAAAGAAGCACCGGCUAACUACGUG
rnacentral:rRNA from 1 species